AUGACUCAUCAGUUGCCAGGAGCGGAUUUGGGGGGAGAAGGUGACCAUCAGGAUAGAUUGGAGACGCCAAAUAAAUGCAUAACAAGGUCGGGAGCCAAAAACGGAGCAGGAGGGGCUUGGAGCCCCCAAAACCAAACACGGGGGAGGGGACUGGGGGAACGAUCGGAAAGGAGAGAGCAGGGAAAAGAGGGUCGGGACCCCAAAAUUGAGCUGGGAGGGGAAUGGGACCCCCAAAUUGAGGUGGGAGGGGAAUGGAACCCCCAAAUNUGUGACGAAGCCACUGCAUUCCCCCGGGAGCUGCAGCGCCUGCUCAGGGACACCAAGGCUGCCCUGAAGGGGAUAAAUGAGGCAUCCCUCAACAUCCUCAAGGGCUUGGUGGCCAAGGUGGCUGAGGCUGAGCGGCUGUGGGAGGCCAACGCCCGCCUGGCCAAGGAUCACCUUCUGGGGGCAGUUGACGACAUCAUCAAGUUCUAUUUCACCGGUGGUUGCGCCAGCCCCAGUGCCUGUGGGGUGGCCGAGCGGUGCCAAAGAGCUAUCGAGGACAUCCCAAGGCUCCUUCAACCCCCAGACCAUCCCCAGAGUGUUCCCAAUGUAUCCCCAGUGACCAUGGAGCCCCAAGAGGUGUCCCCUCCACAGCUUCAGGUGCUGGUGGCCGUGGUGGCCACCCUGGGCGAGAUGCUGGCCACCAUGACUGGGCCACAAAGCGACAAGUCCCCAAACUCCUUAGAUGAGGACCUGAAGAACUUCACCCGGAGCCUUCGUGCAAUCCUGAACCAUGGCGGUGUCACCUCCCUGGGCCACCCUGGUGUCCCCUCCCUGGGCCAGGCCCUGGCCACCCUCGGGGCCACCCCUGGGACCACCUGGGCCAAUGUGAGAGCUGUGGCCAAGGCCUGGCAGGAGUUGGUGGCCAGGCUCGUGGAUAGCUGGGACUGGCUGGCCAGGGAGGCCACCAAGCUCCGUGACAACCACAGGAAGGUAAUUGCGAACCAGCAGCUGAUGGUGGCCCUGGACAAGGAGGAAGUGGCCAGGGAAAUGGCCACAUACGAUGCCCAGGUGGCGGCAGCCACCAGUGAGGGAAUGGGAGAGGCUGUGGCGGCCACCAGGAGGGGACGUUGGGCAGUGGUGGCCCUGGGGCUGCUGCAGCGCUUGGUGGCCACGUGUGACAGAGCCACCUUGUUCUACUGGAACAUGGAGUGGCGGCUCAGGGACAUCAAGGCCAUCCUGAAGGGGACAAACAAGGUGUCCCCUGAUGUCCUCCAGGCCUUGGUAGCCAAAGUGGCCAAGUUUGAGUGGCUGUGGGAGGCCAGCACCCGUCUGGCCAAGGAUCACCUGCUUGGGACACUUGGGGUCAUCAACAACAUCCUCUUGAGUCCCUAUGAUGGUUGUGGUGGCCCCGGUGGCCCUGGCAGCUGCACAGUGGCCAAGCAGUGCCAAAAAGCCAUCGAGGACAUCCCGAGGCUGCUGCAGGAAAGUUUCACAUGGGAGCACUGACAUCAUCAGGGACAUUGCUGCUGUCACCUGUGCCCUCCCUGUGCAGUAUUUGAGGCAGAUUUGGGGAAUUUUCUGGGAAUUUUCAAUGAUACUGUCCCAAAUCCUGAUGGGAAUUCCUGGGGUGAUGUCACUGGGGACACUCUGGGGACACUCAGGGACACUCUGGGACAGUCAGGGACAGGGGUGAAUGGGCCCCCUCAAGAGCUUCCAGCUUUCCACUUUGCCUGCAGCCCAGCUGGGUCAUAAAUGCCAAUUAAAUAAUUGCCUUUUGCACUUUUGUAUUGCCUUUUACGCAUUGUUAUUGAUCACCACCAAUUUGAUACCAUGUUUGAUACCGAUAUUGAUUAUUGAUGAUUCAUUGUAGCUGCUGGUUGGUGCAAUAUAAUCUCUUAGUUCAUGUGUGCACCAUACACCUAUGAAUGAAUGAAUGAAUGAAUGAAUGAAUGAAUGAAUGAAUGAAUGAAUGAAUGAAUGCCUUCUGUAUGAAUCACACCGGGCUGAUCUGAAGUCUGUGUCAGACACAUCACUUGACCAUUGUCACUGCCAUAUUUUCUGAAAAAAUUCUCUUUGCCCAGGAUUCUUCUCCUGGGAAGCCGAGAAGCCUCAGAGAAAAAAAUAAAAUAAUUAUCUGAUUUGCUUCUCCUGUGUUU
ensembl:lncRNA